CAAUACCGACUGGCGCACGGGUGCGGAACACGUAGGUAAUCUACCCUCAAGGGGAGAAUAACUCAUCGAAAGGUGUGCUAAAUCUCCGUAACAUAGUCUGAUGGCAUCAUCGGAUUAUCAAGCUUUCUUGGGGAUGAGCCUGCGUCUGAUUAGCUAGUUGGUGGUGUAACGGACCACCAAGGCUACGAUCAGUAGCUGGUCUGAGAGGAUGAUCAGCCACAUUGGGACUGAGACACGGCCCAGACUCCUACGGGAGGCAGCAGUGAGGAAUAUUGCUCAAUGGACGAAAGUCUGAAGCAGCAACGCCGCGUGAGGGAUGAAGGUGCUCUGCAUUGUAAACCUCUGUAGACAGGGAAAAACAACGGGUUACUACCCGUUUGAUGGUACCUGUAAAGUAAGGAUCGGCUAACUACGUGCCAGCAGCCGCGGUAAUACGUAGGAUCCAAGCGUUGUCCGGAUUUACUGGGUGUAAAGGGUGCGCAGGCGGACUUGUCAGUCAGUGGUGAAAUCUCUCGGCUCAACCGGGAAACUGCCAUCGAUACUGCAAGUCUUGAAUUGGGGAGGGAGUUGUGGAAUUCCGAGUGUAGCAGUGAAAUGUGUAGAUAUUCGGAAGAACACCAGUGGCGAAGGCAGCAACUUGGCCCCAGAUUGACGCUCAGGCACGAAAGCAUGGGGAUCAAACAGGAUUAGAUACCCUGGUAGUCCAUGCCCUAAACGAUGAUCACUUGAUGUCGGCCGCAAGGUCGGUGUCGAAGCUAACGCGUUAAGUGAUCCACCUGGGGAGUACGCUCGCAAGGGUGAAACUC
rnacentral:rRNA from 1 species